UGUUGCAGUUAAAAAGCUCGUAGUCGAACCUUGGGUCUGGCUGGCCGGUCCGCCUCACCGCGAGUACUGGUCCGGCUGGACCUUUCCUUCUGGGGAACCUCAUGGCCUUCACUGGCUGUGGGGGGAACCAGGACUUUUACUGUGAAAAAAUUAGAGUGUUCAAAGCAGGCCUUUGCUCGAAUACAUUAGCAUGGAAUAAUAGAAUAGGACGUGUGGUUCUAUUUUGUUGGUUUCUAGGACCGCCGUAAUGAUUAAUAGGGAUAGUCGGGGGCGUCAGUAUUCAGCUGUCAGAGGUGAAAUUCUUGGAUUUGCUGAAGACUAACUACUGCGAAAGCAUUCGCCAAGGAUGUUUUCAUUAAUCAGGGAACGAAAGUUAGGGGAUCGAAGACGAUCAGAUACCGUCGUAGUCUUAACCAUAAACUAUGCCGACUAGGGAUCGGACGGGAUUCUAUAAUGACCCGUUCGGCACCUUACGAGAAAUCAAAG
rnacentral:rRNA from 1 species